UAGAGUGGGUUCUAGGGUUUCAGCUCUAGGUUUUUGUGUGAAAAGAAAUACAAGAGGGUCUUGUUUCAAUCUUCCACACCACCACCUCCUCAUGUAGCUCCAUCCUUUGAUCUAGAAGAGUCAAGGUGAUCCAAAAGAAGAAGCUUAUUCCAGCCAUCCAGUGCCUUCUGCGCAAGCUAGCACUCUCAGAAAGGAUGAUCCGAUCAGAACAUCGAGUGGACAAUCUGUAG
rnacentral:lncRNA from 1 species